rnacentral:rRNA from 1 species
GCAUAUCAAUUAGCGGAGGAAAAGAACCCACAGGGAUUGCCCUAGUAACGGCGAGUGAAGCGGCAACAGCUCAAAUUUGAAAUCUGGCUCCUUCGGUGCCCGAGUUGUAAUUUGCAGAGGGUGCUUUGGUGUUGGCUGUGGUCCAAGUUCCCUGGAACAGGACGUCGCAGAGGGUGAGAACCCCGUACGUGGCCGCCAGCCUUCGCCAUGUAAAGCCCCUUCGACGAGUCGAGUUGUUUGGGAAUGCAGCUCUAAAUGGGAGGUAAAUUCCUUCUAAAGCUAAAUAUUGGCCAGAGACCGAUAGCGCACAAGUAGAGUGAUCGAAAGAUGAAAAGCACUUUGGAAAGAGAGUGAAACAGCACGUGAAAUUGUUGAAAGGGAAGCGCUUGGAGCCAGACGUGCCCGGGGAUGCUCAGCCGGGGUUUUCCCCGGUGCACUCUUCCGCGGGCAGGCCAGCAUCAGUUUGGGCGGUCGGACAAAAAGCCUGGUAAACGUACCUCCCUCCGGGGAGGACUUAUAGGGUAGGUGGCAUACGACCAGCCCGGACUGAGGACCGCGCAUCUGCUAGGAUGCUGGCGUAAUGGCUGUAAGCGGCCCGUCUUGAAACACGGACCAAGGAGUCUAACAUCUAUGCGAGUGUUUGGGUGUCAAGCCCGAGCGCGCAAUGAAAGUGAACGCAGGUGGGAACCCUUUGGGUGCACCAUCGACCGAUCCUGAUGUCUUCGGAAGGAUUUGAGUAAGAGCAUAGCUGUUGGGACCCGAAAGAUGGUGAACUAUGCCUGAAUAGGGUGAAGCCAGAGGAAACUCUGGUGGAGGCUCGCAGCGGUUCUGACGUGCAAAUCGAUCGUCAAAUUUGGGCAUAGGGGCGAAAGACUAAUCGAACUAUCUAGUAGCUGGUUCCUG